UUUUUUUUUUUUUUUUUCAAUAACUGCCCUUAAAUUGAGUUUUGGGAAAAGUGGCAUGAUAUCUUACUAUGGAGGAUCGUCUACAGAAAUAAUAUUUAUUAAUUUUAUAAUGUUUAAAGUUUUCAAAAUAUUGUUCUAAACGUGGAGUUAUUGAGUCUCAUGGCAAUUUUGUAUCAUAGCCAUCAUGGUCAUUAAUCUCAUAUAGACAAAACCUCUUAUUCUAAGUUACACAAAGAGCAAGCGGAGUCAGAAAUGAAAUAUGGGUCACAUAAGUUCUGCUUUUUUUCAUUUGAUACUACCUGGCCUAGGACCUAGGUACCUGAUGAGGUUAGAGAAAAUGGGGAUUUAAGAACAUUUCAAGAGAAAGGAGCAAGUACUCUCAUAAUUGUCAGCGAAUAAUGCUUAGUCUCUUCUUCCUUUUUUUAUUUUGCCAAAAAAGAAAAAAAGUUAAGAAGUGAGAAUUCAUCCAUUAUUCUUAACUCGCAGCAAACUGCUUUAAGAAGUUAGAAUUCAUCCAUUAUUCUUAACUUGCAGCAAACUGCUUGUAAUCUUUAAGAUCUUAAUAAAUUUUAUGUAAAGUAGGUAAAAGACCAAAAUUAAGUGAGAGGUAGUAAAAAAGACCUUUGGUGCAAAGUUAGACUCUUUUAAACUGUAAUCAAAAUCUGAAGACUGGGAAAAACUCAGAGUAAGAAGAUUAUGUACUAUUCAACCAUGAGGAAUAAAGCCAAUAGGGGAGGAAGAAGUUAUGAACACUGUAUCCAUAUAUAGGGUUAAUAUGUGUUUAAUUCAUGUGCUUAACUAUUUUCCAAGUUUAGAUAGUGAUUAUUUUACAAAAUAUUGUUGAUAAUUUUACACAGAUUUUUAAAUUUUUAACCUUUAUUAUAAAUCGGUCUUUUGUAUGAAGAGCCAAUGUAGUUAUUUUCUAUACUUCUAUGAAUUUUCUUUAAUGAUUAUAUUUAUCUCUUUCAGUAGCUUUGUCCAUUUAUUGACUAUUUUAAGUAAGCACACUGCAUCACAGGGAAUGCAAAAGUGAAUAAAUCAUAUUCUUAGUUGGAGAUUGAUAUAAUCAAAUGGUGAAGUUUGCUAAUCUGGGUUUCUUAAUUGUGUCCAUGCCCUCAAUAUAUAGAUCAAAUAAUUUUCACUGAGAAAUUGGAUGGCAAUUUAUUCUAGUUAUGUAAAUACUCUAUUUGUGUAGAAGUCACAUUCUGACAACUCUAGCAGUUAAAACAAAUUCACUAAGAAAUAAAUGAAAACAAUUUCUUAUUGAAAAACAUACUGCAGAGUUCAUAAAAGAUUAUAAUAGAAUUAGAACCACCCAUAGUGGCAGGGAAUAUUUUUAAAAUUCUGUGUAAAGUUAUGUUGCCUGAUUUAGUGAAUUUGACAUCACUAACUAUUAACAGCAUGGAUUAGCAUUGCUAAAAAUGGAAACAAUGUGUCAUGGUUCUUAAUGAGGCAACAUGCCCAGCCAUAAAGCAAAUGUCUCCAUUGAUCUCGCUAACUCCUGAAGGCAUGACCUUAUAACUGCAUAGUUUAGGAAUCAAUGUUUCUAAUGACUCAAGAGAAAGGAUAAAUUAUAUUUUGGUAUCCACUGUUUUAAAAGCUAUAAGAAAGCUUAUGUUUUAAGAUUUUUCUCAACAAUAAUUAAUAAUUUUAAAAAUAAAGUUUUAUUGGAUAAAAGGGUAAACUUUAAACAUGAUUUGCAUAACUAUUAGUUAUUGAAUUUUCUCAGUUGACUCAAUUUUUCAUAAAUUUUUCUAUUCCAAUUUUUAAUUUUAAUAAAACAAUUACCCAACAUAAAAUAUCAAGGCAGCCAAAGCCAUUCUAUUUUUUAUUUACUGCCCACUUUCUAAUUCUUGUGCUUUUAUUCAUUUUCCCCAAAUCAUAUUGACUUUUAGAAAAGAAUAGCAUUCCAUGACCAUUAUUUUUCACUCUUUCUGCCUUCCAGAGCAGGAACAAAUACUGACUGUAUCAUGCCUGCUGUAUGCAAGGUCUUUGCUACAUAUUUUACAAAGCCAGUACCUUCAUGCAGUGUUUAAUAUGUCUGUGAUACUGUAAGGAUGUGUGAAGUAAAGCAACGCAGCACAGUGCUGACAGGUAGUGCAACUAUAGACCACUUAUUUAUCAUUCCUGUGCCUUAGUUUUCCCAUUUGUAAGUUGAGGAUAAUUACAGCACUCACUAAGCAGGACUUUAUGAGGCUUGGAUAAAAUAAUUGUCAGACUCAGAAAAGUAACUGGCACAUGCUGAUUGCUCACAAAGUUAAUAAAAUAAGAGGGUAUUACAGUGCCCCAGAAGAAGGAAGUUACAUCUAUCUUCCUUAUUUUUUUAAACAUUUUAUUCAUUUAUUUGAGAGAGAUUGAGAGUGAGAGAAUGUGCAUGAGUGGGGGAAAGGGGCAGAGGGAGAAGCAGACUUCCUGCUGAGCAGGGACCUUCUCCCCACCGCCGCCCCCCCACAACACAGGACUUGAUCCCAGGACUCUGGAAUCAUGACCCGAACCAAAGGUGUAACCAAUUGAGCCACCAAGGUGCCCUACAUCUAUCUUCUUUAGGCUUCAUGAAACAUAUAAUAUCUGAGAUUGACCUUAAAGAUGUGAUUUUGGCAAGUGGAGAUGGCAAGGCUCUAGAAAAGGCUAUUUCAUAUGGAGAGAGCCAUUGCUCAUUGAUGAGACUUUGUGUCAUAUUUAGGAAAGGGUCAUCUUACACUGGUAUGAAAAGUAAACAUGAAGAAAUAGGAUCAAACUAGCUAGAAACGUUAGGGGGCAGGGAAUGGGAAUCCCACUAGGCAAAUCUAAGAAGAUUUUACUUAAUUCAGAAAUUGCAAAAAUUGAAAAGGAUUAAGCCUGGAAGCUGAUAUGAUGGAAAUUUUAUCAUAGAAAAUUAGUAUAGUUUGUUUAACAAAAGAUAUGUUAUAUGUUACCGCAAUAAAACGAAGACAAACACAAAUGACCAAAUAAAGCAGUAGGCCUAGUGGUAAUAAAAUUGAGAAAUGGAAUUAUAUAUGAAUGUUAGAAAACUCUCAUUCAUUCUACUAGAUUUUUUUAAAUCUUAGUGUGGGUUGCAAGAUGACUAAUAAAAAAUACUUGGAAUAAUCCAAAACAAAUUUUCCAACCAUGAUAGCAUGACUGGGGCUGGCACAGCUGUGUAAGCCACUAGAACACUGGAUAAUAUAGGCUAAAAAAUUGGUUUUAUACACUGGAUAGUGGGAAAUGCAGAAGUGUGAUCACAGAAAGAAGAGAAUACAAUGAGGAGAGCUCUAGGAUCACCUUGGCUUUUUCCCUGAAAAUGUUUUCCUAAUCAUGAUGCAAGGAGGAGGAGCCAAGGUGGAGUCUAGUGGUCUCUCUGUUUGAGGUGACAUAAAUAGAAUUUGGAGAGGCCAAGAUUGCUGGAAUUUCCAUGGUAGGAGGCGGGUAGGGAGAAAAACCUCCAGAACCCUGAUUAGUGGUAUUAUUGGGUCUGUCACUGUAAUCCUAAACUGGCUGAGGAUAGGGGGAAAAUCCAUGAGGUUGAUUAGGGAAUAAGUAGGGAAUUAUAAUAUGUUCAAUUUUCAUAGGUCACCCAAGGCUAGAGUAGUUUCAGUUCCAACAGGUUACAGUAGAGAGAACUGUUUGAACACCUGAGACAUUCAUAAAAAAAACCUUAAAAGUGACACAUUAGAAAUGGAUGUAAGUUAAGCUUAGAAUGAAGGCUACACUGAACCUGCACACCACUCCACCCCCAACAAAUAGUCCUAAAACAAGCCUCAAAAGGGUCUGCAUACAACUGCCUAUAAAUAGAAAAGUCUAAUGCACUUUUUAAAAAGUCAACAAUAUGCAAUACUCAAUAAUAUAACAUUCACGAUGUCCAGAAACAAACAAAAGAAUCGCGAGGUAUGCAAAGAAAAACAUAACUCUUGAUUUCCUUAGGAAAAAAAUCUGGUAAUAGAAAGCCAGAUAGAAAUUACAGAGAUGUGGAAGAGGUACCUGGGUGGCGGAGUUGAUUUUGGCUCAGGUCAUGAUCUCAGGGUUGUGGGAUCGAGCCCCUCCCCACUAUGUAGGGCUUCCCAUUGGGUGUGUAGCCUGCUUAAGAUCCUCCUUCUCCCUCUCCUUCUGUCCCUCCCCAAUCCAUCUCUAAAAAAAAAAUAAUAAUAACAGUGAUGUGGAAAUAGCAGAAAUAUUAUAAGAUGAAUCACUUAUAAUAAACAUACUCCGGAUUUAAAGGAAAACAUGAACAUAAUAGCAAUAGAAAUGGAGCCUAUAAAAGAGAAUUAAAUGGAAUUUUUAAAGCUGAAAUAUAGAAGGCCUGAUAUGAAAAUUCAACUAGAUUAAUAGCAGUUUAGAGUAGAGAAAAAAAUCAGUGAAUUUGAAGACCUAGAAAGUAUCAGAAGUGAAGCACAAAGGUUAAAAAAAAACAUAAAAAUAAAAAUAUAGCUUCAGGGAUCUCUGGGACCUGUGGGACAACAUCAUGUGGUCUAAAGAGGAGAGGGGGAAGAGAAUUUUUUGAAAAAAUAAUGGCAAAAUUUUUCCAAACUUGAUUAAAAUUGAUUCACAAAUAUCAGAGAACCCAAAGCAAGAUAAAAACAGAGCAAACCAAAGCAGGGUACAUCAUAAGCUAAUUGCUAAGAAUCAAUAUUAAAGAGAAAGUCAUAAAAGGAGUAAGAAAGAGAAGGCCUGUCAUAUUUUGGGAGAGUAGAGGAAUAUCAGAAUUAUUACAUAUAUUUUAUCAUAAAUAAUUCAAGAUAAAUGAUAAUGGAAUGUAUUUUUUAGAAUGCUGAAGAAAAAAAAAACUAAAUCUAGAUUUCUAUAACCAGCUAAGAUUUCCUUUCAAAUGAAGGUAACAUUUUUGUAAUUUUUCCCCCCAGAGAAUUUAUAUCCAAUAAAACUGCAUUACCAGAAAUGUUAAAGGAAAUUUCAGGCCAAGGGAGGGUGAUAUUACAUGGAUCUAAGCAAAGAAGUUUGUCUAAACAAAUCUCCAACAAAUUGGAGAUUGUUGGUGUUGACAAAUAUGUGGGUAAAUGUAAAUGGAUUAUUUUCCUAUUUUGUAAUUAAAAAAAAUAUAGUUGACUGUGUAAGAUAAUAAUGACAUACUGUGUGCUAUGUAAUAUAUGUGGCAGUCAAAGAUGUGGUAUGGUAGUAACACAACAACCAGGUAAGGGAAAUAGUACCUUUUUAUAAGGUUUUUGCAUUGUAUGUUAAGUAAUAUAGUGUUAUUUGAAAGUAUGAUUAUUGUAAGUAAAAGACAUAUGUGCAUAUUAUAACCCAUAGAGCAAUGAUAACAAUACCCAGAAUAGGCACAGUGAAUAAGCAAAUGAUAGAAAUAAAAUGAAGGGGUGCUUGGGUGGCCCAGUCAGUUGGGCAGUUGACUCUUGAUUUUAGUUCAGGUUGUGGUGUCAGGGUCCUGGGAUGGAGCCCCACUCCAGGCUCAGCGCUCAGUGGGGAGUCAGCUCAAGGAUUUUCUCUCCUUCUCCCUCUGCCCCUCCCUCCACCUCCUCUCUUUCUGUCCCUCCCUCUCUGAAAUAAAUAAAUCUUAAAAAAGAAAUAAAAUGGAAUGAUGUUCAUUCAUCAACCAAAAAUUUUUGAAAAGAUAAAAGAAGAAACAAAUGAGACAAAAUAAAAGCAAGAUGAGUUUUAAGCCUAAACUACUGAUAAUUACUUUAAUUAAUGAAGGUCAAUAUACAGGGAUGCCUGGGUGGCUCAGUAAUUGAGUGCCUUUGGUUCAGGUCAUGAUCCCGGUGUCCUGAGAUCGAGUCCCACAUUGGGCUCCCCUCUGCCUAUGUCUCUGCCUCUCUCUCUGUGUCUCUCAUGAAUAAAUAAAUAAAAUCUAAGAUAAAAUAAAAUAAAGGUCAAUAUACAAAAACAUGAUGCUUUUUAUAUGUAAUAAAGGCAUGUGAAAUACUUAGGUAUAUACAGAACAAAAUACAUGCAAGAUUCGAGGAAAGAAUAGUAAAAACAAUUGAUAAGAGAAAUUAUGUAAGACCUAGCAGAAUGGGAAGCUAUACUAUGUUUAUUGUUUGGAUGGCUCAAUAUUAAGAUGUGAGUUUUUAGUGACAUUGUUAGAUUCAGUGCAAUUCCAAUCAAAAUCUCAUCAGGCUUUUUUCAAAAACUUGAUAAGCUGAUUAUUAAAUUUAUAUGGAAAUAUCAAAUACCUAUAAUAACCAAUUUUUAAAAAGAAGAGGAAUUGAAGGACUUAAAUUACUUGAUUUCAAGGCUUAUCAUAAAGUCAUGGGACUCAAGAACAGGUAGUAUUAGUAUAAAUGUUGGCUUAAAUAUUAUUGGAUAUAAAUAGAGAAUUCAGAAAUAGACCCUCACAAACUUGAGAAGGCAAUUCAGUGGAGAAAGGUAGUGAAAAAAAUGCUACGUGAAAAAACUGGAGAGUCAUAUGAAAAAAAAAAUCCAAACCUUACUUCAUACAUUAUAUACAAUUUAAUUCUAAAUGGAUAGAUCUAAAUAUAAUAGUGAAAGAACAAACUUCCAGAAGAAAAAUUUUAGAAGAAUCUUAGUGACAUUGGAUUUGGCAAAGAUGACUUGUAGGAUCCAAAAACCAUGAAGCGUAAAAAUAAAAAUAAAAAUAAAAAAACACAAGCAAAACCAGAAAUUUUGCCUUUCAAAAGAUACUUAGAGAAAUGAAAGGCAAGGGAAACAUUUACAAAAUACGUAUCUAGCGAGGAACUUUAUAUAUAUAUGUAUAUAUAUAAAGAGGUAUUACAAGUAAAUCGUAAGAAAGCCAGCCAAUUGGCAAAAGAUUUUAGAAGAUACUUAAAUCCCAAAUAUGUAUAUAUGCAUAUGUAUCGCAUGUAUCACGUAUCUCACGUGUGUUUCAUGUGUCAUAUAUGGUAUACAUACGCGCACACGUGCGAAAUCUGAGGCCUUUCUUGUGUUUUUAUUAGCAAGCGUCCUGUCCCUGCCAAUCAAGGGAGCUCUGCCUUUUGCUAACCAUCAUCACGCGUGUCACACACUUACCCGCAAGUGGGCAUGUCAGCGCUUCAGAGGGAGUACCAAAGCUCAACUAGGUCACUGAAAAAUGUGGUGAUGUCACUGUUAGCUGAGUAAAGGCAGCUCAGCAGGGCCCAGAAAGCCUCCAUUUAGGUCAUCUGGCUUCAUUUUAAUGCAUACUGGGCUGUAUCCUAGGUGAUGGUCUAAAGUAAAUGAGGGAAAAUUCAGGAUUCGUGGAAGGAGAAGACAAGGCUUGUGUUCUUGGGGGUGACCAGGCAAGAAGCUCACUAGAUUCUCUUCCUUUCAACUAUUUGUUACAAAAACAAAACAAACUAUUUCAUGUUUUCUUUCAGAUGAUCUCUUAGGUGUCAUUAGGGUAUUAAAUUGAGUUAUUUUUUUAUUUUUUUUCUUACUUGAGAAGGUUCUUUUUCUUUUCCUAUUAGAAAUACAGUGACCUCUGUUCCUCCAAAGCUCUCCUUUGAUUCAACAUAUUGGUGAUUUUUUAGAGGGAGGUAAGGAUGACUUCCAAAACCAAAAUCUUCUUGCUGUAUACCCUGUGAAUUUUAUCACCAAGAGCUUCUCAUUUCUGAAGUAUACAAUUUGUUUUCUGAUUGUUUGAUCUACCUUAUUUGCUUUUCUUUGCUUUCAAGUUAGGACGCAACUUUCUUAGUUCUGCAUUCCAUGUGAAAGGAAGAGGCGCUUACACGUUUGCCAUAUUCCCCCACAGAACGCAAUCCAAUAAUGCUGGAAACAGAGAUAUUCAAAUAAAAAUUCUUAAGUCAACCUGCUUGCAUUGGCGAGUAAUUCAUUAUGAUUUACGAAAAAGGCUGAACAGGUGACUGCAAAGGCUUGAUUCCCGACUCACUACAUACCUGCUGAGUAACCUCUUCAUCUUUUUGUGCUUCAAUGUCCUUACCCACAGUGUCAGAAAAACCUAAACUUAUCAGAUAGUUUUGAAGAUUAAAUGGAUUAGUGGAUGCAAAGAUUCUAGGAAAUUGCCUGCCACACAGUAAACACCCUUAAUGUAUAUUAGCAAUUAUCGUAUUGUUUUUUCUAUUUUUUUAAAACUAGUUAAAAAAUAAAUAUCAUUCAUAAGAAAAAUAUGGAAUAACAGUUUAUAAUCUUGGGGUAAGAAAGGCUGCUGAAGGGACACCUGGGUGGCUCAGUAAGUUAAGCAUCCGACUCUUGGUUUUGGCUUGUCUUCAGAUCCAGCGGCCUGGGGCUCUGGGCUCAGUGGGGAGUCUGCUUCUCUCCC
rnacentral:lncRNA from 1 species